GACACUCAGAUGCGAAAGCGUGGGGAGCACACAGGAUUAGAUACCCUGGUAGUCCACGCCGUAAACGAUGUCUACUUGGAGGUUGUGGCCUUGAGCCGUGGCUUUCGGAGCUAACGCGUUAAGUAGACCGCCUGGGGAGUACGGUCGCAAGAUUAAAACUCAAAUGAAUUGACGGGGGCCCGCACAAGCGGUGGAGCAUGUGGUUUAAUUCGAUGCAACGCGAAGAACCUUACCUACUCUUGACAUCCAGAGAACUUAGCAGAGAUGCUUUGGUGCCUUCGGGAACUCUGAGACAGGUGCUGCAUGGCUGUCGUCAGCUCGUGUUGUGAAAUGUUGGGUUAAGUCCCGCAACGAGCGCAACCCUUAUCCUUGUUUGCCAGCGAGUAAUGUCGGGAACUCCAGGGAGACUGCCGGUGAUAAACCGGAGGAAGGUGGGGACGACGUCAAGUCAUCAUGGCCCUUACGAGUAGGGCUACACACGUGCUACAAUGGCGCAUACAGAGGGCUGCCAACUUGCGAAAGUGAGCGAAUCCCAAAAAGUGCGUCGUAGUCCGGAUUGGAGUCUGCAACUCGACUCCAUGAAGUCGGAAUCGCUAGUAAUCGUGGAUCAGAAUGCCACGGUGAAUACGUUCCCGGGCCUUGUACACACCGCCCGUCACACC
rnacentral:rRNA from 1 species